rnacentral:rRNA from 1 species
UACAGAGGUCCCAAGCGUUGUUCGGAUUCACUGGGCGGAAAGGGUGCGUAGGCGGUCGGGUAAGUCUGAUGUGAAAUCUCACAGCUUAACUGUGAAACUGCAUUGGAUACUAUUCGGCUAGAGAGUUGGAGGGGGGACUGGAAUUCUUGGUGUAGCAGUGAAAUGCGUAGAUAUCAAGUGGAACACCAGUGGCGAAGGCGAGUCUCUGGACAUUUCCUGACGCUGAGGCACGAAAGCCAGGGGAGCAAACGGG